UAAAUAUGAUGCCGUUCAUGAAAUUGGAGG
rnacentral:piRNA from 1 species